GGAAGAAAGACGUAGACGUGAGGAAGAGAUAAAUCGCCAUAGAGAGGAGGAUGACAUGAGAUGCAUACCAGAUGGAUUUAAGCCCAGUUUCACAGAGGGUGUGCAAAAUAACAGCUACACUACAUAAAAAAACUGGACUACAAACAAAAUGAUGCCUAUCUCUACAUAUCUUUGAGUCAACACAGAUUCUGACAAAACAGUUUUUUUCUAUCUACAUUAGUGAUGGACUCAAAACUGGUUAUUAGUAUUGUUUAUUUUUUAUUUUUAAUAAAACAGUGAGACUUUAAAAUAGCAUUUAGCAAUUAAUUAGGGUUAAAAGUCUACCUGCAGUAAAAUUUUAUUUCCAAUAAAAUUUUCAUGUGUUGCAUAUAUUUAAUUUUUUUAUUACAGCAUCAGUUAAUUUAUUAAAAUAGACAAAGUUAGCCUGAAAUCCUAAUGUAAUUGUCAGCCCUUUGUAAUUGUGCAUUGUGUUAUGCAUAGUGUGACACUGUAAUUGUCUGUCCUGUAGGGAUGCUCCGAUCUAAUUUUUGCAGCCGAUACGAUUACAGAUUUGUUAUCUUCGUGAUCGUCCGAUUCCGAUUUUUUUUUUAAGCUGAUAUGCAAUCUCUUUAAAGGCGCUCUAAACGAAUCUGUGUGACGUCACUUCUUGUUGAUGUUCGAAGUGUUGUCAAACAAAACGGAGCGUAGCUAAUUCCUCCCCCUUCCUCUCCCUUCUCUUUCACUCUCCCCCUUGCCCCUCCCUCUCCCUUCCAUGCUUCCGCAUGUGCACUGACCCCCCAAACCCCACCCCCAAAUCCUUCUUGUCGUUUAUUGGCUGGAACACGUUUGUUAUGUUUUGUUAUGCUGCGCCACUAUGUUUUUGUUGCCGUUUGUGGAGUCUGGGUUGUCAACAGAGACCGCGUCUUUUUACAGUGUGUUCAGGGGACAGGCAGCUAGCAGAUAGUGAGGAGAUGUUUGCUGUAUGUAACAACAAAUGUUUUAUUGCUUAAAACGUGUGAAUUUGUUAGAGCGCCUUUAAUGACUGUAACAUUUUUUUCUAGAUAGUCAUACCACAGAUGUAGCCUUUGUUAUAUUACUUGCAGUAAUUAGGUAUAUUGUUGUGUUAAUAGAGAAUCAAAUAAAUAAGCACAACACAUAUUUAUUCUGCAAAGAGAUAAAGGCUAUUUCUUUAAAAAGGUUAAUGUCUCUUAAAAGUAAUGAAAAUUAAAUACUUUGCAGUCUUUAGUGUAUAAAUUAAAUAUACACGCAUUCGUAUGAAAUAUAACAGUUCCUAAGUCAAGAGCAGAGAGUGAUUUUAUUCAGAGAUGAAUUAGGAUACUGUAGCUUUAAGACGUGAGAGAGAGAGAUUGCUCUAUUCAGGUGCACUGAUGACAGGCUACUGUGUGUAUGCACAGGUAUGGCAGGUGUACGCAGACAAGAGCAGCUGUGAGGAAAAAGAAAGUUUAAACGGUCAAAACUUUAAAACGCAUGCAAAUAAUAAACUCUUGGAAUGAGGAUGCAAUUGUCCACGAUAGAUAUCUGUUAGAAAAUACACAUAUCUCUGUAAAGGCAAAGAGAGAAAUUCAAAUCUGCACAUCGCACAUGAGCAACGGGUUAUAAAAAUGCUCGCACUACGUAAAAAUGCUCUCUAACUGCAGCUGCAUUCAGGAUCCCUAUGAUGACAAAAGUAAAUAGAAAGAUCGGUUUAUGAGAUCGGCAAAUUUAGCGAGUACGGAUCAAGUCAUUUAAUGCCAUUAUUGGCCGAUCGAUCGGAGCAUCCCUAGUGUCUUGUCAGCAUAACAUCCCAAAUUGCAAUAACAUAUACAUUUGUAAAUGUUUUAAAAUGUUGGUAGCAUGCAAGCUUUGUUUUUUUAGAAAUUAUUUGCUAGAAACAUUAGCAUACUGUAAUUGUUAAUACAAUAGUCUUGUUAACGGGUUUACAGGCACCACUGUUAUUGUUUAAAACUGUCCCUACAGGUUAGGAUCAAAUCUAAAGCUGCAAUCCAUAACUUUAGCCUGUAUAUUGCCCCUCUGUUUGAAACAUAAAAUUGCAGCUUUUUGCUGUAAUUUUCUGCACAUGUGUUAUGCUUUUCCCCAGAUACUACUCUGCACUGAUGAAUGAUGUCUUUGUUUACUGCAUUAGAGCAGAUCUGUCAUGUUGUAUGUGACGUGUAGCUCAACAUAAAUACGUUGCUGAUAUCUUGCAUGUUCAGAGGAAAAUGCCAUCUCUGUGCCAGUAUUGAAAAACCCAUCAGAUAUUAGCUCUGGUUUUAGCACAAGCUCUGUCACGUUUCCUUUUAAACUGGAGGUUUUCAACAAAAAAUUAUUUCCCAGUAAUAAAUUGACAUGUUUA